AAAAGACUUAGUCCUAACCUUACUGUUGGUUUUUGCCAGAUACAUACAUGCGAGUAUCCGCAGUCCAGUGUAAAAGCCCUAGGCACCCUUUGCCAAACAAAGUCGAUAGGAGCGGGCAUCAGGCUCACCCAACUAACCGGUAGCCCAAGACGUCUUGCACUUGCCACACCCCCACGGGUAUUCAGCAGUAGUUAACAUUAAGCAAUGAGUGCAAACUUGACUUAGUCAUGGCAAUUUAGAGUCGGUAAAUCCUGUGCCAGCCACCGCGGUCAUACAGGAGACUCAAAUCAACAUUACCAAAAGAACGGCGUAAAGAGUGGUAACAUGCUAUCCAAGUAACUAAGACCAAAACGCAACUGAGCUGUCAUAAGCCCAAGAUGCCUACAAGACCUACUACCAAAGAAGAUCUUAGACUAACGAUUAAUUGAAAUCCACGAAAGCCAGGACCCAAACUGGGAUUAGAUACCCCACUAUGCNUNGCCCUAAAUCNUGAUNCUUACCCNACCAAAGNAUCCGCCCGAGAACUACGAGCACAAACGCUUAAAACUCUAAGGACUUGGCGGUGCCCCAAACCCACCUAGAGGAGCCUGUCCUAUAAUCGACAACCCACGAUACACCCGACCACUUCUUGCCAAAAACAGCCUACAUACCGCCGUCGUCAGCCCACCUUCACUGAGAGAACAAUAGUGAGCCUAAUCGCCCUCACCCCGCCAACAAGACAGGUCAAGGUAUAGCCUAUGAAGUGGAAGAGAUGGGCUACAUUUUCUACAAUAGAAAACUCCUAUAACGGAAGGGGGUAUGAAACUCACCCCCUAAAGGCGGAUUUAGCAGUAAAGCAGGACAAUAAAGCCCUCUUUAAACCGGCUCUGAGGCACGUACAUACCGCCCGUCACCCUCCUCACAAGCGACCAAAACCCAAAAUAACUAAUAAGCCAUUAAGCCAAAGAGGAGGUAAGUCGUAACAAGGUAAGUGUACCGGAAGGUGCACUUAGACAACC
rnacentral:rRNA from 1 species